CCAUAAGAGGGAUGAUGUAUUACUACAAGGCUCUUAAGAUGCUUUCCUACCUAGACUCUGCAUCGGAGAUGGACAUAAG
rnacentral:snoRNA from 1 species